CCGAAUCCAAAUAGCUUCGGCGCUUCUUUCCAAUGAGCUUGCCAGAAGUACCCCCAGUGAUGACAUCUAUCACAUGCCUCGCAGGCUGUCCCGGAGCUGGCAAUGCUUGCUGAACUGGUUGAGCUGCCGAGACAGGUCCUCGAUCCUGCUGUUGAUUAGUUCUGGCAGCCACAUACUGAACUAAAGCCCCACCUUGUACCUUUCUUUCAAUGAAUUCUUUUAAACUGGCACAAUCGUUCGUUUCAUGACCCG
rnacentral:lncRNA from 1 species